rnacentral:ribozyme from 1 species
GCGGGAAUCUGACACGCACAGAAGCGCUUGGAACCCACGAACACCCCUGCCUGCUCACGUGUCCGAGACGAAGAACUAGC